rnacentral:rRNA from 1 species
AACGAACGCUGGCGGCGCACCUAAUACAUGCAAGUCGAGCGAGAAGACGUAGCAAUACGUUUGUAAAGCGGCGAACGGGUGAGGAAUACAUGGGUAACCUACCCUCGAGUGGGGAAUAACUAGCCGAAAGGUUAGCUAAUACCGCGUACGCUCCUUGGACUUCGGUUCAGGGAGGAAAGCGAUACCGUGGGUAUCGCGCUCUUGGAUGGGCUCAUGUCCUAUCAGCUUGUUGGUGAGGUAACGGCUCACCAAGGCUUCGACGGGUAGCUGGUCUGAGAGGACGAUCAGCCACACUGGCACUGCGACACGGGCCAGACUCCUACGGGAGGCAGCAGUAAGGAAUAUUGCGCAAUGGGCGAAAGCCUGACGCAGCGACGCCGCGUGGGGGA